UGUUUUUAAAGCCCAGAUCCCUAAGUGGCCCCCUCAAGGACUGAACUCACAACUCUACAUUUAGGAGGCUAAUGCUCAAUCCACUUAGCUAUCCCUC